AUACGUAGGGUGCAAGCGUUGUCCGGAUUUAUUGGGUUUAAAGGGUGCGCAGGCGGCUCAUUUAAGUCAGUGUUAAAAUACAGCAGCUCAACUGUUGAACUGGCAUUGAUACUGAUGAGCUUGAGUACAGUGUAGGCAGGCGGAAUUUAUGGUGUAGCGGUGAAAUGCUUAGAUACCAUAAAGAACACCGAUAGCGAAGGCAGCUUGCCGCAGUAGAAACUGACGCUCAGGCAACGAAAGCGGUGGGGAUAC
rnacentral:rRNA from 1 species